AAGGCUUGACAUCACCCGGAAAGCAUCAGAGAUGGUGCCCCCCUUGUGGUCGGGUGACAGGUGGUGCAUGGCUGUCGUCAGCUCGUGUCGUGAGAUGUUGGGUUAAGUCCCGCAACGAGCGCAACCCUUGUUCUGUGUUGCCAGCAUGCCCUUCGGGGUGAUGGGGACUCACAGGAGACCGCCGGGGUCAACUCGGAGGAAGGUGGGGAUGACGUCGUAUCUCACUG
rnacentral:misc_RNA from 1 species